AGACAACCCGUUGCUGAGCCGGGAGCGCUGACGGGCCCGGCUGGGCAGGUCUUGACUCGUCUGCUGAACAAAGCAUUUGAUCUCGGGCCGGCUGUGAACGUAGUUCCUGAGAGAUAGCAAACAUGCCCAACAGUGAGCCGUGUGUGUCUCCGCUGGAGCUGUUCAACAGCAUCGCCACACAAGGGGAGCUCGUGAGGUCCCUCAAAGCGGGAAAUGCAUCAAAGGAUGAAAUUGAUUCUGCAGUAAAGAUGUUGCUGUCGUUAAAAAUGAGCUACAAAGCUGCCAUGGGGGAGGAUUACAAGGCUAACUGUCCUCCAGGGAACCCAGCACCUACCAGUAAUCAUGGCCCAGAUGCCACAGAAGCUGAAGAGGAUUUUGUGGACCCCUGGACAGUACAGACAAGCAGUGCAAAAGGCAUAGACUAUGAUAAGCUCAUUGAGAUAUGAAUCAGGUUCUUGAUGCCUAUGAAAAUAA
rnacentral:sRNA from 1 species